GAUUGCCCCAGUAACGGCGAGUGAAGCGGCAACAGCUCAAAUUUGAAAUCUGGCCCCUAGGGCCCGAGUUGUAAUUUGUAGAGGAUGCUUUUGGCGAGGCGCCUUCCGAGUUCCCUGGAACGGGACGCCACAGAGGGUGAGAGCCCCGUCUGGUCGGAUGCCAAGCCUAUGUAAAGCUCCUUCGACGAGUCGAGUAGUUUGGGAAUGCUGCUCAAAAUGGGAGGUAUAUGUCUUCUAAAGCUAAAUAUUGGCCAGAGACCGAUAGCGCACAAGUAGAGUGAUCGAAAGAUGAAAAGCACUUUGAAAAGAGGGUUAAAAAGUACGUGAAAUUGUUGAAAGGGAAGCGCCUAUGACCAGACUUGGGCCCGGUGAAUCAUCCAGCGUUCUCGCUGGUGCACUUUGCCGGGCACAGGCCAGCAUCAGUUUGGCGCGGGGGAUAAAGGUUUCGGGAACGUGGCUCCCUCGGGAGUGUUAUAGCCCGUUGCGUAAUACCCUGCACCGGACUGAGGUACGCGCAUUGCAAGGAUGCUGGCGUAAUGGUCAUCAGCGACCCGUCUUGAAACACGGACCAAGGAGUCGUCUUCGUAUGCGAGUGUUCGGGUGUAAAACCCCUACGCGUAAUGAAAGUGAACGCAGGUGAGAGCUUCGGCGCAUCAUCGACCGAUCCUGAUGUUCUCGGAUGGAUUUGAGUAAGAGCAUACGGGGCCGGACCCGAAAGAAGGUGAACUAUGCCUGUAUAGGGUGAAGCCAGAGGAAACUCUGGUGGAGGCUCGCAGCGGUUCUGACGUGCGAAUCGAUCGUCAAAUAUGGGCAUGGGGGCGAAAGACUAAUCGAACCUUCUAGU
rnacentral:rRNA from 1 species